rnacentral:rRNA from 1 species
GAUGAACGCUGGCGGUGUGCCUAAUACAUGCAAGUCGUACGCAUUCUCGUUUCUGAUUGACGGUGCUUGCACCUAAUUGACGAGACAUUGGAAUGAGUGGCGGACGGGUGAGUAACACGUGGGUAACCUGCCCAGAAGCGGGGGAUAACAUUUGGAAACAGAUGCUAAUACCGCAUAACCACAGAAACCACAUGGUUUCUGUGUCAAAGAUGGUUUCGGCUAUCACUUUGGGAUGGACCCGCGGCGUAUUAGCUAGUUGGUAAGGUAAUGGCUUACCAAGGAAAUGAUACGUAGCCGGACUGAGAGGUUGAUCGGCCACAUUGGGACUGAGACACGGCCCAAACUCCUACGGGAGGCAGCAGUAGGGAAUCUUCCACAAUGGACGAAAGUCUGAUGGAGCAACGCCGCGUGAGUGAAGAAGGUUUUCGGAUCGUAAAACUCUGUUGUCAGAGAAGAACGUGUGCGAGAGUAACUGUUCGUGCAGUGACGGUAUCUGGCCAGAAAGCCACGGCUAACUACGUGCCAGCCGCCGCAGUAA